AAGAGAUGAAGCCCCCCACAAGCCAAGAAAAAUGGACAGCCCAAUUCUGAAAACAUCAGCAAUUUCCAGAAUUUAAAAUCCUGAAUCCUAGCAGGACACUGGUGGAAGUCAGGUUUAUCUGAUACACCAGCAUUU